UCCCUGGUAGUAUAUCGGCUAGUACACGCGCCUGUCAUUGUAACGAAGUGGUUCGCGAAGGACUGUUGCGCGCGAAAGCGGGGUUCGACUCCCCGCCAGGGAG